GCCGUGUCUGAACAUUCCCUCGAAAAUUCUCUAAGACAGUGAGUGAUGGAUAUCUGUUGAGUAUUUGUGACUUUCUUCUGAGGGAAGCAGUACCAAUGACACUCCCAGCAGGAAGCUCAGCCAGUGAAGAUCCACUCAAGGAAAUAAAUGCAUCUCUAACAUCCUCCCGCUGAAGGUUACAUGGAAGGAUUGUCUUCUCUGGUAAAUACGUGGGGACAUCUUUCAU
rnacentral:misc_RNA from 1 species